rnacentral:rRNA from 2 species
ACGGAGGGUGCAAGCGUUAAUCGGAAUUACUGGGCGUAAAGCGCACGCAGGCGGUCUGUCAAGUCGGAUGUGAAAUCCCCGGGCUCAACCUGGGAACUGCAUUCGAAACUGGCAGGCUAGAGUCUUGUAGAGGGGGGUAGAAUUCCAGGUGUAGCGGUGAAAUGCGUAGAGAUCUGGAGGAAUACCGGUGGCGAAGGCGGCCCCCUGGACAAAGACUGACGCUCAGGUGCGAAAGCGUGGGGAGCAAACAG